ensembl:lncRNA
AGAGCGCGACGCGUUUCUGACACGCAGCAGAUAAAUUAAAACCUGUGACUGAAAUUCGGCUUAGAGAUGAAGAUUCCUGCGAGUUGCUUAAACAAAACGGCACUUGUGUCUUGAUGGAUAAGGUAGCACGACCCAAAUAUUGUCGCCAUUAUCCACUGUGUGAAAAAUGCCUGGCUGUUGCAGCUGCUCAGGCUUCCAGUCAAUAUUUGGAUGGGGAAAGAGGCACAUCACCGUCAUAGGAGCGAGACUCUUCACUCUGGAAACUACGAUUACCAGGCCGGAGCUCAAAGUCCUGCCUGACUGAACCCACCUCUUGACUUAGCCGUUCAUGUCUCUCUCAGGGUACGCUGCAUUCCCCGUGGCCGCAUAAGCAAGGGAGAGGAGUCACAACACCUCUGGGAAUCAAGUGCAUCUGUGAGUGAGCUUGCUUAAAAUGGUCAAAACCUAUUCUGUCUUUAUUUCUCAAAAUGUCACAGUCUUCAUUGCUGAGUUAUUUUCCCAGGAAAUGGCUCGGAAGAGGAUUUCUGCCGUGUGUUUCUGGUUUGUGUUACGGAAUCAGCUCUGAUGAAAUGUGAGUCCAUGUUAAAGGAAUAGUUCAACAUUUUGGGGAAGCAAAUGCUUCGUGGCUUUCUUGGUCGAGAGUAAGGUGAGAAAAUCAACACCCCUCUCGUAUCGGACUGCUGCUGGAGCCACGCUGGCCUGCCCGGAUUCCUCCGGCGAGAUAAGCGAUAAGUGUACGUUGUUGAGCUAUUCCUUUCAUUGUUACUGACACCGCGGACCACAUGGACUUGGCAGCACCGCCGACAACUCAAAGAAAAGGCGCAAGGGCACAACCUUUGUGGUUGUACACCGUGGCAAGAAAAGAGAAGAGACUCGCACCAAAGGAAGAACUCAGAGAGGAACAGUGGGUAAAUCCUGGGCAACAAGUUCUGUCCCCGACGCUCACGACUGGCCAAUUAUAAUUCCCCCUUUCUGUAAAUACUACAUCAGUUCUUCCCACUCUGACUCACUCCUCU